rnacentral:rRNA from 1 species
GACAGAGGAUGCAAGCGUUAUCCGGAAAUGAUUGGGCGUAAAGCGUCUGUAGGUGGCUUUUAAGUCCGCCGUCAAAUCCCAGGGCUUCAACCCUGGACAGGCGGUGAAAACUACCAAGCUGGAGUACGGUAGGGCAGAGGGAAUUCCGGUGGAGCGGUGAAAUGCGUAGAGAUCGGAAAGAACACCAACGGCGAAAGCACUCUGCUGGGCCGACACUGACACUGAGAGACGAAAGCUAGGGGAGCGAAUGG